rnacentral:misc_RNA from 1 species
AAGUCGUAACAAGGUUUCCGUAGGUGAACCUGCGGAAGGAUCAUUACAGUUUUCUGCGCUUAACUGCGCGAAAUACACAGUGUUUCUAUAUACAAUUAUCUCCAGUGGGCGUAAGCACGCUGGAGCAAGUUCAACUAACUUUAUUAUUUUUUGUCAACAAAGUAUUAAUAUCAAAACUUUCAACAACGGAUCUCUUGGUUCUC